GGUGAGCGGCGGACGGGUGAGUAACGCGUGGGAAUAUGCCCUUCUCUAAGGAAUAGCCUCGGGAAACUGAGAGUAAUACCUUAUACGCCCUACGGGGGAAAGAUUUAUCGGAGAAGGAUUAGCCCGCGUUAGAUUAGGUAGUUGGUGGGGUAAUGGCCUACCAAGCCUACGAUCUAUAGCUGGUUUGAGAGGAUGAUCAGCCACACUGGGACUGAGACACGGCCCAGACUCCUACGGGAGGCAGCAGUAGGGAAUCUUAGACAAUGGGGGAAACCCUGAUCUAGCCAUGCCGCGUGUGUGAUGAAGGCCUUAGGGUCGUAAAGCACUUUCGCCAGAGAUGAUAAUGACAGUAUCUGGUAAAGAAACCCCGGCUAACUCCGUGCCAGCAGCCGCGGUAAUACGGAGGGGGUUAGCGUUGUUCGGAAUUACUGGGCGUAAAGCGCACGUAGGCGGAUUAGUAAGUUAGAGGUGAAAUCCCAGGGCUCAACCCUGGAACUGCCUUUAAUACUGCUAGUCUUGAGUUCGAGAGAGGUAAGUGGAAUUCCGAGUGUAGAGGUGAAAUUCGUAGAUAUUCGGAGGAACACCAGUGGCGAAGGCGGCUUACUGGCUCGAUACUGACGCUGAGGUGCGAAAGUGUGGGGAGCAAACAGGAUUAGAUACCCUGGUAGUCCACACCGUAAACGAUGAAUGCCAGACGUCG
rnacentral:rRNA from 1 species